ACUCCUGGCUUGAGGGUACAGCAGCCCAGACUCAAAUGAUGAGGAGGAACAACCCACCGUUUCUCUUUCAGGAUAUUAAAGCAUUUGAAAAGCAAGGACCCCGUGCAAUUGAGACUGGAGCACUUGGAGCAAGGUUUCUCUGUCUAUGUCAACGGUGCCAAUUCGGAGCUGAAAUCGUCACCGCGGAAAGCUAUUCACUCUGACUUCUCCAGAAGUGCCUCCCACACGGAGGGGACACACGAUUAUGGACGAAGAACUCUGUUUCGAGAAGCUGAAGAAGCCUUAAGACGCAGUUCACGGACAGCCCCCAGUAAAGUCCAGCGCCGAGGAUGGCACCAGAAAUCUGUGCAGAUCAGAACAGAAGCUGGCCCACGGCUCCACAUCGAACCUCCUGUGGACUAUUCUGAUGAUUUUGAGCUGUGUGGGGAUGUGACUCUCCAGGCAAACAACACUUCUGAGGAUCGUCCGCAGGAUACCAAAUCUCCCACCAGUACCAAGCCCUGUGGUUUUAACUCCUCCCUUCUGAAUGCAUGUGGACAUUCUGACCCUUCAAGCAGCGUGG
rnacentral:sRNA from 1 species